UACGUAGGCAGCAAGCGUUGUUCGGAAUUACUGGGCGUAAAGAGUGUGUAGGCGGUGCUCUAAGUUUGGUGUGAAAUCUCCCGGCUCAACCGGGAGGCUGCAUCGAAUACUGGAAUGCUAGAGGGUGGGAGAGGUAAAGCGGAAUUCCUGGUGUAGCGGUGAAAUGCGUAGAUAUCAGGAGGAACACCUGUGGUGUAGACAGCUUACUGGACCACUUCUGACGCUGGAGAACACGAAAGCGUGGGUAGCAAACAGG
rnacentral:rRNA from 1 species